rnacentral:lncRNA from 1 species
UUCUUAUAUUAAGGCAUUUGACUUUUUUCUUCUGCACAUUCAUGCCAUUGCCUCUAAACAGGAGAAAAGUUUGGUAAAUAUGCAGCUUAGAAUUUCACUGAGGAUGCUGCUUUAUUCUUCCCCAGGACCAAGGUGAUAAAGGUUGAACUCCACUGCUAAACUUUGCAUCGCAUUUAAAUAAAUAGUCUCAGCGAGACUUUCUCAUGAACAUUUUCACAGCUUGAUUCUGGUUCUCAUUAUAUCCCAAUUAUUGAAUCAAAUAAAGCAAAAACAUCCCAAUAGAAUGAAACACAUGAACAUGAUCAACUUUCUUGGAAAAGGAACAAAUUAAUGCUGAUCUUCAACUAUUCCUGUAGCUUUAGUAAAAAAAAAAAAAAAAAAAAAAAAAAAAAAAAAAAAAAAGUUGUAGUAACUCACCCUUUCUUCUUUUUUUAAACAAAGUAAUAUAAGAAAGAUAAAUUAAUUACUAUUUAAAACUAUUCACUAAGAUAGCAGACUGUGAAAAACAGAGAAAGCUCCAAACAGGUAAGCAGUACAUCCUGGCCUUGCUAGUAUAGGAUGCACAUAACCAAAAAUUAUUACAUAGAGCCAUCAAGAUGACUCAGGAGCUAAAAGAGUCUGCCUCCAAGCCUGACAUUCUGAGGUUAAUCUGUGGUAGGAGGAGAAAACCAAUUACUACAAGUUGGCCUGUGACAUCAACAUACCCAGCAUAUGUUUGUACCCUCACACUAACAAAAAUAAAACCAACCAACCAACCAACCAACCCAAACCAGACAAAUCGAUGUUAAAUAAAGAUGAAGUAAUAUGGCAUCAGUAGCACCCUCAGAGUUCAUAGUUAAGGAAUGUCAUUUCUACUGGAGUUACAGAGCUCCAAGUGGAUCAGUGUAACAUCAUGGAAAAUUGGGUCCUUCCUUAUUUCCAGAUUUCUCUAUAAGUGAAUAGAAUCAGAGUCUACAGUCAUGUAAGAGGCACAAAACAUACCAUGACACUGUAUCUGUGAAUACAGGGCAUUUGAAAGGAUGUCAUUUGAAGGUUAUGCAGUUUCAUAGUAAACUUGUCUAGUUCUUACUUAGUAUUCAACCAAAUGAGAAGAACUGUGAUAGUAGGUAGCAAGGGACAACAUGAAUACAUAUUAGGCAAGUAACCAGUAUAUAUCUCAGCUCACUUUGCAUCAGUUUAUUAGAUAAGAUUUUCCCAGUAAACUAUUGAUAACAGUAGUAAACUUCUAU